UGGAUUCCUUCACAUUGUGGAGAGAGCAUAUGACAUGCUGGGCAGAUCCCAGGGAGGAAGCCGGAGCAGCCUAUCUUGCUGAACACCCUCUUCCCUCCCUGAACCCAGGCCCUCUGAUCAGCUAGGAGCAGCUAUUCUAGCUCUGCAGGAUGCAGAGGCUAGUUUUCCACUGAUAAGACCUGUAUCCGUCAAGCAGGAAAAGAAGUUUCUGCCUAAAAGGUUAUCUAUCUCUGAGAGUUACCAACUUCUAACAGCCAGUGCAAAUUGCUGCUGGCUGUUGAAUUGCAACCGAGUCUGUAUAAUAAAGAGGCUGUUCUCGGUUCCCCAGGACUCCCGGAAUUUGCAUGAAAACAGUCUCUCCAUCUUCUGAAAGGUUCAUCUGGCCCUGCUGCUUACUUCUUUCCAGAAGCCACAAUCUUGAUGGUGACACUGUAAUUUAUGACAGAGCUAAGGAUUAUAACGCAACACACAGAGAACAAGGAGGACUUUGGGGGCGGGGGAGGCCGGCUCCAGGUGCAGGUGAGCUUCAAGAGGGGGGUGGUCUCGUUUGUCAUGCAAAUGGCACAGGAGGCUGAGGAAAGGACUGGGAGGAAAGAUGACCCUGGAAAAGAGCACAGGGCUGGCUGCAGAAGAAACUUGUUUCUAAACAGAAUGUUUUUCAAAGCUUUUCUUGAAGCAUUAGCUAUUCCUCCAAAAUAAAUGACACAACGUAUUUCGUACUAGUAAUAAAAUAUGUGAUUUGAAUAACUACAAAUGGAAAGAUUUACAGUCGGUGGGCUCGGGGGGCUCCUCUCCCCUGAGCUUUGUGUGUGCUGAAACCCUUCAGUGAGACGCUGGGAGAGGUAAUUGCAGCCCAAACAUCAUUUUCCAGCCGCUCGAGAGAAAGGCCUAUUUGGACAUAAAUUAACUAAAAAUAUGCGGAUGAUAGUGUGUAUUUCAUGUGCGAAGAACAGAAAGGCCACUUGGUGACGUUUUUCCAACUGAAAAAAAAAAUCCUAUUCUUCAAACAGACGUCGUUUCUCUGUCCUG